AUACGUAGGGGGCGAGCGUUGUCCGGAAUGAUUGGGCGUAAAGGGCGCGUAGGCGGCCCGGUAAGUCUGGAGUGAAAGUCCUGUUUUUAAGAUGGGAAUUGCUUUGGAUACUGUCGGGCUUGAGUGCAGGAGAGGUAAGUGGAAUUCCCAGUGUAGCGGUGAAAUGCGUAGAGAUUGGGAGGAACACCAGUGGCGAAGGCGACUUACUGGACUGUAACUGACGCUGAGGCGCGAAAGUGUGGGGAGCAAACAGGAUUAGAUACCCUGGUAGUCCACACUGUAAACGAUGAAUGCUAGGUGUAGGGGGUAUCGACCCCUUCUGUGCCGCAGUCAACACAAUAAGCAUUUCGCCUGGGGAGUACGGCCGCAAGGUUGAAACUCAAAGGAAUUGACGGGG
rnacentral:rRNA from 1 species